UACGUAGGGUGCGAGCGUUGUCCGGAAUUAUUGGGCGUAAAGGGCUCGUAGGCGGUUUGUCGCGUCGGGAGUGAAAACCUCGGGCUUAACUCGGGGCUUGCUUUCGAUACGGGCAGACUAGAGGUAUGCAGGGGAGAACGGAAUUCCUGGUGUAGCGGUGAAAUGCGCAGAUAUCAGGAGGAACACCGGUGGCGAAGGCGGGUCUCUGGGCCAUAACUGACGCUGAGGAGCGAAAGCGUGGGGAGCGAACAGG
rnacentral:rRNA from 1 species